AAGAUGUAUGCUCGUGCUCGCUGCCGCCGCAGGGGAAUCCGGUGCGAAUCCGGAACUGUCCCGCAACGGUGUACUUGCGUGCGUUCCUCUGCUUUCGCGCACGCAUGGUCAGUCCGAGCACCUGCCGGCAGCGCACCCGAUCC
rnacentral:ncRNA from 1 species